rnacentral:rRNA from 1 species
CAGCCAUGCCGCGUGAGGGAUGAAAGGCUACGGGGUGUAAAGCUCUUUUAGGAGGGAGGAGAAUGUCGGUUCGGAAGAAUAAGCCCCGGCUAAGUUCGUAGCCAGCGGCCGCGGUAAUA